rnacentral:rRNA from 1 species
CCUGCCCAGUGAAUUUUUAACGGCCGCGGUAUCCUAACCGCGCGAAGGUAGCAUAAUCACUUGUUCUUUAAAUGGGGACUCGUAUCAACGGCAUCACGAGGGUUUUACUGUCUCCUCUUUUUGAUCAGUGAAAUUGAUCUUCCCGUGAAGAAGCGGGAAUAAUCCUAUAAGACGAGAAGACCCCAUGGAGCUUAAAACCAAAUAACAACUUAACCACUUACCCCACUAGAAAUUUAAGCCCUGUUAUAAGGUUUUUGGUUGGGGUGACCGCGGAGUAAAGAACAUCCUCCACGACGGAAAGAACACACUCUUUAUUUAAGAACCACAAUUCUAGAAAUUAGUAUACUAACGUUUACUGACCCGAUAAUCGAUCAACGGACCAAGUUACCCUGGGGAUAACAGCGCAAUCUACUUCAAGAGCUCAUAUCGACAAGUAGGCUUACGACCUCGAUGUUGGAUCAGGGUAUCCCGGUGGUGCAGCCGCUACCGAAGGUUCGUUUGUUCAACGAUUAAAACC